CCUACGGGUGGCUGCAGUGAGGAAUAUUGGUCAAUGGACGCAAGCCUGAACCAGCCAAGCCGCGUGCAGGAAGACGGCCCUAUGGGUUGUAAACUGCUUUUGUACGAGGGUAAACGCAGACACGCGUGUCUUUCUGAAAGUAUCCUACGAAUAAGGAUCGGCUAACUCCGUGCCAGCAGCCGCGGUAAUACGGAGGAUUCGAGCGUUAUCCGGAUUUAUUGGGUUUAAAGGGUGCGGAGGCGGGCGGUUAAGUCAGGGGUUAAAUUCGGAGGCUCAACUUCGGAAGUGCCUCUGAUACUGUUAGGCUAGAGAGAAGGUGAGGUAGGCGGAAUGUGUGGUGUAGCGGUGAAAUGCUUAGAGAUCAUGCAGAACUCCGAUUGCGAAGGCAGCUUACCAAGCUACAUCUGACGUUGAUGCACGAAAGCGUGGGGAGCAAACAGGAUUAGAUACCCCGGUAGUC
rnacentral:rRNA from 1 species